AGGAGGAAGGAGCAGCAGAGACAAAGUGUUAUGGAACGACCACAGUCCCCAUUCCCUAUCCCCUGCACUUCUCAGGGGAAGGAGAAGGGGAGCGAGAGCAGCUUGGUGAGUUCCUGCAGCUAGCCAAAGUUACCCCACCACAGAAAAUACACCCGAGUAGGUUCAAAAUGGACAAGAUAUCCUUGACUUUACUAAGUUACUUGACGUAAAGUUAACUUAUGCAGCCAUUGGCCAUUAAUACUUCAAGACCACCUAUGCUGGA